CUCCUAAAGAGCUGGUGCUGGACAAGUUCAGGGACAGGGAAAGAUACAGGAAAAUCCAGCAGGGAAGCAGUGGGGGGAAGACGAUGAGCAGAUCCUUCAAGAGUUGUUGCAAAGGGAUUUGGGCAGGACCUGAAGCUGGUGCUUGACCUGGGAGCCCAAGGAAGUCGGGGAGGAGUGCUAUUCUCUAGGCAGCCAGCAGAUGGAGUAGCGGUGGCCAGACCUGAAUGGACCUGGUAGAAACACUGUGGCUCCUUUUUUAGAAUGACUGGCUUAUUUCUUGUCUCCCUUGUUAAAAUGUAGACUCAAGAGCAGGCAGUUCUGCUUAGCCUUCUGUGCCAGCUUUGUAGAGGCUUGAGGAGAUAGUGAAAGGGGAAAGCCUUCCCUCCCUCCCUCCCUCUCUCCCUUUCCCCUCCCUCUCUCUCUCACUCCCUUUCUCCCUUCCUCUCUCUCUCCCUCCCUUACUGUGGCUCCCACUCUUGGAUCUGGGUAUUGCCAUCGAGGUCUGCCCUAUAUUUCCUCCUUCCAUCAGGCAGCUCCUCCUGGCCAGCUGCCACCAGGGACUCUUCCUCUGCCCAGGGCUUUCUCUGCACAUGAGUUGCAGAAGGAAGGGAAGGGUGAAGGAGUAAGGCCAUAUGACCCGACAGCCUUGCCAUGUUCCAGAUGGAAAAUUGGUACUCUGAUUCAUUUUGGCCUAAGGGGCAGACGGGAAGCCUUGGAUCCAGUUUAUAUCUUUGGGGAAAUUCAUCCCAAAUCAAAGCAAAAUCAUACGAUCCUCUCCCAUCUUUAGUUCAGAAUCCCCAGCCGGAGAAAGCUUGGUAUUUUAGGAGAACAAGACUGGAACCUCGGUCCUUUAUCUCUAUGUAUCCUUCUAGCUAGACCUCCCCGCCCUGUUCUUAAAUAAUCAGGUGAAGUUAGAUUGGUCAGAUUUAGCUGGCCAGCAAAGGAAGUUACAAUUAUUUAAACAAAAACAAGAAAAGUAGCUUUAGAGAACAGAGUAAACUCUUGAAUCAUGUGUUCUACUUAGGGAGAGAGGAUAUCAAAGGAAACUGAGAGCCAUAUGAUAAAAAUCUGUAGAUCACUAUUGAUUAAAGAAAUGCAAAUUAAAAGAACUUUGAGGUACUAUUUUCUACCUCUCAUAUUGACUGAUGACAGGAAAAGAUGAUAAAUGUUGGAACAGAUGUGGGAAAACUGGGACACUAAUACAUUAUUGGUGGAAUUGUGAAUGAAUCCAACCAUUCUGGAGAGCAAUUUAUAACUAUACUCAAGGGAUUAUAAAACAGUGCAUACCUUUCGAUCCAGCAGUCUCACUACUGAGUCUGUUUCCCAAAGAAAUCAUAAGGGAGGGAAAAGAACCCACAUGUAUAAAAGUGUUUGUAGCAGCUCUUUUU
rnacentral:lncRNA from 1 species